rnacentral:lncRNA from 1 species
UGCUGUAUAACAGUGUAAGCUUCAGCUAACAUAAAGUAAAUUUAUUCUAUCAGGCCUUCCUUAUCAUCAGUUGCUCACAUAAUAUAUGCAGUAGGAGCCAAAACUGUAUUAUUUAACAUGCUGCAGGUUAGUAGUUCAAGCUUCAGAGGAUAAUAAGCUCGAGUUAUGGAGCAUUCCAACAAUCGCUCCACCGAGAGAAGGUUAAGAUUUUUCGGUGAGGCUGGCAAUUCAUCAGUUGUUACACAGUAAAGUAGCUAUAGUUGCUUCCACUCGACAAAAGUAAAGAACCAUUUUUUCUUCCUCUGCUGCGUUUCUGGCCUUCCUUAUCAUCAGUUGCUCAUCUAAUAUAUGAGCUGGAGCCGAAACUGUAUUAUUUUAACAAGCUGCGGGUUAGUAGUUCAAGCUUCAGAGGAUAAUAAGCUCGAGUUAUGGAGCAUUCCAACAAUCGCGCCACCGAGAGAAGGUUGAGAGUAGUCAUCACUCUAUCGUGGAUCCGGUAAAUGACAGCCAGGGGUUGUUCUCCUGUAGACAUAUCAUAAUGGUGGGUUUUGAUGUUUAAAGUUAAAGACUUUUGAAGUCCUGGAUCGCUAAGUGACAUAGGAAAAUUUAGAAAACAUUCGAAGUGGGCUGGGCCGUUACAAAGACUAGACUCUACUAACCCUAAAAUGGAGUCUUCAAAGUUUCUGUGUCUACAGUCGUGAAGUGCAACAAAGAUAGAAGUUUUGAGACCAUUUCUAAUUAAAAAUUGAAUUCCUAUCUGUACCGCUCCUUUGUGUAAAUAUUUGUAUUUCUUCUUUUUAUGUUGUACUAAUAUUUUUGGGGUAAACAAUUGAAUAGUUUGAUAACUGAUCCUAUCUCAAUUGUUAUUUCUUGGGUUUUAAUUGAAUAUAACGUUUUGAAAUCAAAAGUUUCUAUUUUGUAAAUUUCAUUAUAACUUUUCUUUGGUAAUUUUCAGUUUCCUACAAUUUUAGUCAAACUAUAAGAAGACCAUUCUAUACAGUUCAUCAUAGUUUUUGAAACACUAUCUAAUACCGAAGAUAGGGAUUCAAAAAGUUUUAGGGAGAUACACUUACUUCUUAGGUUGAAGAUUUCGACGGGGCACCCAUUGUGCCACUUGCAAUUACCAUUGGAACCACAAGUUGCUAUUUCCUUCUAGGCUUCUUCCUAAGGUUUGAGUUUUUUCUCACUAAUUCUCUCAGGGAAGAAAGUGGCAAAUUUUUGAUGGAGGACUACUUUAUUGAACGUUUAGUGUUCAAGUAUGCUGAAUUUGGACCACGCUACAGCAUGAGUCACAAUGUCUUCAACCGCAUAUCUCCUGACAUUUUCAACUAUGACUGAUACUUUGUUCAUAAAUAAGAUGCUACCAAGAAAGUUGGACUAUUUUCGAAGUCGAAGAUGACAUCUUCCUUGCAAAUGUUUGCAUACGGUGCUAGGGCAGAUCAAUGCACUAAGUUUUGUUGGAUGGCGAAAUCUACCUCCAUCUAGUGCCUUCAAUGUUUUACAUAAGGAAUCGCUGCUGUCUACUUAAAAGAAUAUCUCUGUGCUCCUAAUGCAGUCGACCUUAGAAGCCUUUUUGUCAAAACUAAGAUAAGAGGUUUUUCAAGGAUGAUUGGGAGCAUUGACUGUAUUCACUGGCAAUGAAAGAAUUACCCAACCAAUUGGGCUGGAGAAUAUAGUGGUCAAAAAUAUUUUCCCACUAUCAUCCUUGAAGUGGUCGCAUCAUAUGACACUUGGAUAUGACACUAGUGAAAGGUGGUUGUGAGAAUCUACUUGCUAAAGGUGGUUGCAUAUAGUAUCCACCGAGAAAAGGUGUUUGAAAAUUUGACCCACCUGUUAUAUUUUCAUCUUCUCUAUCCACUAUCUUCUUUUGUUUUUUCUGACAAUUUUUCUUUUUGGCGUCAUCUGUCUUGUA